rnacentral:rRNA from 1 species
AUGAGACAAAAGAUUCUCUUUCUAAAGAGAUUUGAUUCGGAACUCUUAUAUGUCCAAGAUCAACAUGGAACUUCUUUCAUAGGUUUUUCCUUACUUUAUCUGUGUCAACAAACAAUUCAAAAUAUCUAG